UCAGCUCGUGUUCGCGCUCGUUAAUUAACGAGUCGAACACGAGCUGUAUUACGAACAAUCAGUUAAAGAAAUUAAAAAGAAAAUAUAUAGAGAAUAAAUUUAUAAAAUCUUUCAUAUUAUGUUUUGAUUUAACGGUUGAAACUUUACAUAUAAGUAGACAUUUUUAUAAUUGAGUUGGUUAGGUAUUUAGGUUAGGCUAAACAUCAAAUAAUAAAAUUCUGUACUUUAUGUAUAUAAUUAUUUAUUUAUAUAUAGAAAUAUAAAUUAUAUAAAUUAUAAAAUAUAUGUAUUCGAGCUGUUAUCAAGCCGAACACGAGUGAGCUGAACCCAGUUCGUGUUUAGUUUGUUUAUUAAACAAGCUGGAAAAGUUAGCAUGUGUUCCGUUCGUUUACUAAACGAGCUUAUUUUAAGCCGAACACGAGCCGGCUUG
rnacentral:lncRNA from 1 species